ACAAAUUAGAGCUUGUUUAAAGCGUUUUACUUACACUAAAAAGUUAAUUGUUAAAUUCAAUUUAAUUUG
rnacentral:tRNA from 1 species